CUUGUGCCAAAUCCGUUAAAGUGCUUGAUUUCUGAAACUUAGCAUUAUGACCAUUUAAUCUAAUGUCCUAUCGUAUGGAUUCCAGCCUGCCAUGCAGGUUUCCCUUAAUCUACUGCUAUUUACAUUUCUCACAAGCACGCAACCUGAAUUUCUUCCAUAGACCUCUUUUGAAGAUUUCUUGCCUGAAGGAGCCCCCCACCAAAAAUGCUCCCCCUGUUCGCGCCUCUCCCCUUUUGGCCCCCUUCCCUAAAAUUGAACAAAUUAGGGGAUUUUAGAGGAUAUGCCUGUAAAAUCUCCAAAAAAGUGUGUUUCAAUGGGGCCCUUCGUUAUAUACGCCACUGCAAUUAAUUAUUCAAAUCUAUUCAAUUUAGGUGAAUGAAUGAAUCUACUGGUUAGUGGUGAAGACACAGUUUUAACACUUUAUUUGGAGUGAUCCAAUCUAAGCCAGGCAAGUGAGGGAAAUGAUUUUAUUUUAAACCUGCUACACCAAGUUGAUACUUUCGUGCAAGCAGCUAGGCUCCGAUGGUUUGGCCAUGUGGUGAGGAUGCCAGAAGAAAUAAUACCUGACUAUCUUCUGCACUGGAUCCCAAAGCAUGGCAAAAGGUCAAGAGGUAGACCUCGGAAAAACUGGCUGUCAUGUGUCCGGGAGGAUGCAACAAUCUUCACAGUUGUCGAUAACAUCACAAUAGAAGAUGCAGAACAACAAGCAACAAACAGGGUACAUUGGAGCGGCCUAAUACAUCGGUGAAAGGAGUGACUGUGUGGUGCAGGCCACUCCAACGACUAGGAGGAGACCUUUUCAAGUACAAAUGAGGGUAAUGAUGAAUUCAAUAAUUUCAAAAGCGACGGAGGGAUGGAUUCCUCAUCAACUCAGAAUAGAAAUAGAGAGGAAGAGAUUGAAGUGGUGACUGGACAAUUCAGUAAUACAAAUCUGUACAACAUCUUAACAAUUCUAGUUUGAUAGCCCUUAUACAACUCCCUCCGACACACACCAUUUGGGAUUUAAUUCUGCCACAAAAGAAAGUCAUGAACCGAUGAGCUGGUUCACUACCCCUCAGCCCUCUUCAACUGUCGAAGAAAUCUUUCAUCUCGCUGCACGCAACAAUCAACAUAGAAGAACUUGUUUUAAUUCUAUGCGCUAAUAUUUUGCAGAAUAGGUCUAAAAUACUGUAGGAGAGACGGAACUAUUCCAGUAAUUUUCUUGAUCAGCUUUGAAUAGUAUUUCAACAACAUUGGCAAAGUCCAGAUUGCUUGGUCAAAUUUCAAAAUUCUACUGGCUCUACUUGAUGGAAGGCGCGAAUGUAAUGUUCAUAAAUUGUAAGAAAAGCAAGCAAUGUCAGUUAAGAGUUAACUUUUUAUAUCAUGCAUAUGCAUGUACUGUAAGCAAUUCAUUUCAUGCAUAAUAAUGACCCAACGGCAGUCUUUUUUAUUGCACUGGCCAGCAACAGAAGAGAAAACGCUAUAAUGGAUGAAAUCUUGGUUUGCGUAUCUGAAAUGACUCCAGUUGCGUGCGUUUCUAUUAUGAACACAAGACUACGGUGUUUAUCCGUCUAUAUCUCCUAAUCUGCUCAUGGGACACUUCUCAAAUUUUGUAUGCUAUUAGUUCAAAAGAUUUCUGACAAAUCUGUACAAUUACCAAUGCUUUCCCAUGAGCACUUUUCUCGCAAUAGUCUGUUGAAAAUCGCAAAAUUGAGGCCAAUGACGUGUCGGUAGUAAUUUGAAUGAUGGAGAAUUGUAAUUGUGUUGGUGUUUUUAUCGAACUACUGAAUUUAUUUGUUUAUCUCAAUAAGAUAUUAUAUUAAUCUUGUACUGAUAAACUAUAUGGUUAAAGCAAAACAUUCAUCCGAAUGUGGGUUCGAGCCUGACCAGGUGUUGAAAUCUUCGAAAUCGAAGAUUUCAACUCCUGGUCAGGCUCGAACCCACAUAUUAUGGUUCCUCCUUGCUUCCAUUUAUUGAGAAUCAGUCCUCUGCUCUCAUGAUCAAGCCAUUGUGGUAACUGAUCAUUUUGAUACUAUGUCUUAUUAUAUUGUGUUAGAACACACUGAUUCUUUCAAA